UGGGGAAUUUUGCGCAAUGGGGGAAACCCUGACGCAGCAACGCCGCGUGGAGGAUGAAGUAUCUUGGUACGUAAACUCCUUUCGAUUGGGAAGAUAAUGACGGUACCAAUAGAAGAAGCCCCGGCUAACUUCGUGCCAGCAGCCGCGGUAAUACGAGGGGGGCAAGCGUUGUUCGGAUUUAUUGGGCGUAAAGGGUGCGUAGGCGGUUUGGCAAGUCUUAUGUGAAAUCUUCGGGCUCAACCCGAAGUCUGCACGAGAAACUGCCGGGCUUGAGUGUGGGAGAGGUGAGUGGAAUUUCCGGUGUAGCGGUGAAAUGCGCAGAUAUCGGAAGGAACACCUGUGGCGAAAGCGGCUCACUGGACCAUAACUGACGCUGAUGCACGAAAGCUAGGGGAGCAAACAGGAUUAGAUACCCUGGUAGUCCUAGCCCUAAACGAUGAUCGCUUGGUGUGACGGGUACCCAAUCCCGCCGUGCCGAAGCUAACGCGUUAAGCGAUCCGCCUGGGGAGUACGGCCGCAAGGUUA
rnacentral:rRNA from 1 species